UCUCCCUCCUCAUCCUUCCACCUCUCGUCGCCGUCUAUGGUCUUCGUGUUCCCACCGCCAACGACACCAGCGCGCCUAGGUUGCUAGCUCAUGGCCUUGCCAGCCACCACAAAGGCAGCAUCGGCAAUGGCGUCCAUCCACCAGCAAUGCGGGGCCGCGACGGGCCCGCGCGCGCGGCGGCGAGUCCAGUGCCGCGGCGCGGCCAACAGCGUGGCUGCCGUCGCCGCGGCGCGCGCACCGGUGGAGGCAGCGCCGCCACGGCACGCGGCGCGGAGGAGCACGUCCACGGCGACCGUGGCGGGCAUGUGGCGGCAGCUGCAGGGGUGCGACGACUGGCAGGGGCUGCUCGAGCCGGCGGCGGUGCACCCGCUGCUGCGCGCCGAGGUGGCGCGCUACGGCGAGCUGGUGGACGCGUGCUACAAGGCCUUCGACCUGGACCCGGCGUCGCGCCGGCACCUCAACUGCAAGUACGGCCGCGAGCGGAUGCUGGAGGAGGUGGGCAUGGCCGGCGCCGGCUACGAGAUCACGCGCUACAUCUACGCGGCGGCGGACGUGACGGUGCCCACCAUGGAGCCGUCCACCAGCGGGCGCGGCCGCUGGAUCGGCUACGUGGCCGUGUCCACGGACGAGAUGACGGGGCGGCUGGGCAGGCGCGACGUCCUGGUCUCGUUCCGCGGCACGGUGACGCCCGCCGAGUGGAUGGCCAAUCUGAUGAGCUCGCUGGAGCCGGCGCGCCUGGACCCCUGCGACCCGCGCCCGGACGUCAAGGUGGAGUCGGGAUUCCUCAGCCUCUACACCUCCGUCGACAAGACGUGCCGCUUCGGCGGCGCGGGGAGCUGCCGGGAGCAGCUCCUGCGCGAGGUGUCGCGCCUCGUCGGCUCGUGCGCCAAGGCACGGCCCGGCGAGGACGUCAGCGUCACCCUGGCGGGGCACAGCAUGGGGAGCGCGCUGGCGCUGCUCUUCGCGUACGACCUCGUGGAGCUGGGCCUCAACCGCGGCGCGCCCGUCACCGUCUUCUCCUUCGGCGGGCCCCGCGUCGGGAACGCCGCCUUCAAGGCCCGGUGCGACGAGCUGGGCGUCAAGGCGCUGCGCGUGGCCAACGUCCACGACCCCAUCACCAAGCUCCCGGGCAUCUUCCUCAACGAGGCCACCGCGCGGGUGCAGGCGCUCCGCCCGUGGCGCGACUCCUGCUACACCCACGUCGGCGUGGAGCUGCCCCUGGACUUCUUCAGGAUGGGCGACCUGGCCAGCGUCCACGACCUGGGCACGUACGUCGCAUUGCUCAAGAGCGGCGGCGGCGGCGACAAGCCAGCCGCGGCCACUCGACGCAGCGACGGCGGCGUGCUGGCGAAGGUGGUGGAGUUCGUGGGGCGGCGACGCGCGGGCGCCUUGCCAUGGCAGGACGCGGCCCUGCAGAUGGGCGGCCUGGUGCAGACCCUGGGGCUCAUCUGAGUCUGUCUGACCUCAGCAACCGUCGGCCGUGAUUAACUGCUCAGUAGUGAUCCUCUUGGAUAAUUUUAUUUUUUAGAGGAUCGCUUCACUUGUUUUUUUUUUGUACAGAUCGAUUGAUCGGUCCAUCGAUCAACGUAGCCCGAUCCUUCUCAGGGUUGAGAUCGAAAGGGGAUUUCUUUGUUUAAAUUCGUUUUUUUCUCGUUGGCUCAUAUACAGCGAACAUACAGCCAACGACCAUGUAACGGAGGCAAAGCUUGCUCGAAAAAGGGCAGACAAACACGCAAAGCCAUAUCAUCUGUUCGAUUUACAUACCUCUUCUUUCUGUUGCAGAAACACGAACAGCAUCCCUACUACUAUACAUUAUUCUUAUUCCAACUAAAACAAGUUUACAAUGUCAUGGGACUCCGACCCUCGAUCGGAGCUGUCUUUCAGGAUUCGGG
rnacentral:misc_RNA from 1 species